rnacentral:rRNA from 1 species
UGGGGGAUAUUGCACAAUGGGCGAAAGCCUGAUGCAGCGACGCCGCGUGGGGGAUGAAGGCUUUCGGGUUGUAAACCUCUUUCGCUAUCGAACAAGGCCCGCUUAGGGUGGGUUGAGGGUAGGUGGAGAAGCGCCGGCUAACUACGUGCCAGCAGCCGCGGUAAUACGUAGGGCGCGAGCGUUGUCCGGAAUUAUUGGGCGUAAAGGGCUUGUAGGCGGCUUGUUGCGCCUGCUGUGAAAACGCGGGGCUUAACUUCGCGCGUGCAGUGGGUACGGGCAGGCUUGAGUGUGGUAGGGGUGACUGGAAUUCCAGGUGUAGCGGUGGAAUGCGCAGAUAUCUGGAGGAACACCGAUGGCGAAGGCAGGUCACUGGGCCAUUACUGACGCUGAGGAGCGAAAGCAUGGGUAGCGAACAGG